GAUGAACGCUGGCGGCGUGCCUAAUACAUGCAAGUCGAGCGAACAGAUGAGGAGCUUGCUCCUCUGACGUUAGCGGCGGACGGGUGAGUAACACGUGGAUAACCUACCUAUAAGACUGGGAUAACUUCGGGAAACCGGAGCUAAUACCGGAUAAUAUAUUGAACCGCAUGGUUCAAUAGUGAAAGACGGUUUUGCUGUCACUUAUAGAUGGAUCCGCGCCGCAUUAGCUAGUUGGUAAGGUAACGGCUUACCAAGGCAACGAUGCGUAGCCGACCUGAGAGGGUGAUCGGCCACACUGGAACUGAGACACGGUCCAGACUCCUACGGGAGGCAGCAGUAGGGAAUCUUCCGAAAAGGGCGAAAGCCUGAAGGAGCAACGCCGCGUGAGUGAUGAAGGUCUUCGGAUCGUAAAACUCUGUUAUUAGGGAAGAACAAAUGUGUAAGUAACUAUGCACGUCUUGACGGUACCUAAUCAGAAAGCCACGGCUAACUACGUG
rnacentral:rRNA from 1 species